CUCCUCUCUCUCUCUCCCUGUCUGUCAACAUACGCUCUCACACUCACACACGAAGUCUCGCAUUUUUGGAUUUGCGUUUCAUGCUGGGUGGGGGGUCAGCUGCUGCAGCGGAGCAGCAGUGAGUGGCUUGUUCCAGCGUCUAGCCCUCUGACCAGCUGCCGUAUGUACAUGCAUGGACAGGACACGAUCAGAACUACUGUCGCAGACCAGACUUACAUCUAAAGCGCAUGGACAGACUCUGAACACUGACUUCGUGCCGGUAUGUGUGUGUGUACCCAUUCUAAGUGUAUAUCGUGGCAUGCCUGUCUAAUUCCAAGCAGGUAUGUGUGUGUGUACCCAUUCUAAGUGUAUAUCGUGGCAUGCCUGUCUAAUUCCAAGCAGGUAUGUGUGUGUGUACCCAUUCUAAGUGUAUAUCGUGGCAUGCCUGUC
ensembl:lncRNA